UACGUAGGGGGCAAGCGUUGUCCGGAAUCAUUGGGCGUAAAAAGCUCGUAGGCGGUGUGUCACGUCGUUCGUGAAAACCUGCAGCUUAACUGUGGGCGUGCGGUCGAUACGGGCAUCACUGGAGUUCGGCAGGGGAGAUUGGAAUUCCUGGUGUAGCGGUGAAAUGCGCAGAUAUCAGGAGGAACACCGGUGGCGAAGGCGGGUCUCUGGGCCGAUACUGACGCUGAGGAGCGAAAGCGUGGGGAGCAAACAGG
rnacentral:rRNA from 1 species